UACGUAGGGGGCAAGCGUUGUUCGGAGUUACUGGGCGUAAAGGGUGUGUAGGCGGUUCUUUAAGUUUGGUGUGAAAUCUCCCGGCUCAACUGGGAGGUGCGCCGAAUACUGAGGGACUAGAGUACGGGAGAGGAAGGUGGAAUUCCUGGUGUAGCGGUGAAAUGCGUAGAUAUCAGGAGGAACACCGGUGGUGUAGACGGCUUUCUGGACCGUAACUGACGCUGAAACACGAAAGCGUGGGUAGCAAACAGG
rnacentral:rRNA from 1 species